rnacentral:snRNA from 1 species
GGAUGCGAGGGCAAUCUGGCUGUGACAUCUGUUACCCCAUUGAUCACCAGGGUUGAUUCGGCUGAUCUGGCUGGCUAGGCGGGUGUCCCCUUCCUCCCUCACCGCUCCAUGUGCGUCCCUCCUGAAGCUGCACGCUCGGUGGAAGAGGACGACCAUCCCAGAUAGGAGUGUACCAAUCUUUGGUCAAGGGUAUACGAUAGUUGCGCUCCCCUGCUAGAACCUCCAAACAAGCUAUACACUUUUAAACAGAGCAAGUGUUAUACAUUUCUUAAAAAGAGCAAGAACACCUAAAGAAGUCUAACAGUUUCCAAAGUGAUGCUGAAAAUGUAGCUGCUUAUGAACUUUU